CUCAGAACGAACGCUGGCGGCAGGCUUAACACAUGCAAGUUGAGCGGGAUUGAUUGAUAGCUUGCUAUUAAUCAUGAGAGCAGCGCACUGGUGAGUAACACGUGGGAACAUACCUUUUGGUGGGGGACAACAGUUGGAAACGACUGCUAAUACCGCAUAAGCCCUGAGGGGGAAAGGAGAGAUUUGCCGAAAGAUUGGCCCGCGGAAGAUUAGGUAGUAGGUGGGGCAACGGCCUACCUAGCCGACGAUCUAUAGCUGGUCUGAGAGGACGAUCAGCCACAUUGGAACUGAGACACGGUCCAGACUCCUACGGGAGGCAGCAGUGAGGAAUAUUGGGCAAUGGAGGAAACUCCUGACCCAGCCAUGCCGCGUGAGUGAAGAAGGUUUUCGGAUUGUAAAGCUCUUUCGGACGGGAAGAUAAUGACGGUACCGUCUAAAGAAGCACCGGCUAACUUCGUGCCAGCCGCGGC
rnacentral:rRNA from 1 species